AGAGCCUGAGGGGCUCAAACUUACAAACUGGGAGAUCACGACCUGAGCCGAAGUCGGAUGCUUAACCGACUGAACCACUCAGGCCCCCCUACUACUUUCUUGUAGGCUUCUGUCUCCAGCAGCUACCAGCUGCAGGGCUCUCUCACUGGCGGGCAGUGGCUUGUCCAGUCUGGCAAGAGUCCAUGUUCCAGACCUUUCCUAACUUCCUCUCUUUUCAGACUCGCCCUGCCUCAUUUCCUCUUCCUUCUGACCUCUGCCUCCUUAUAAGACAUUUGACCAUUUCAUCCGUGCUCUUGUGAUCAAGAAAGGCCAACAUGACCUCAGGUUGUGAGUUCAAGCCCCACGUGAAAUGUAGAGAUUACAGAAAAAUAAAAUCUCAAAAAAACCAAAAACACUACAACAUGGAAAAUACACAUUAUCAAAGCUUAUUUAAGGUUGUUGGUUUAAUUAAAAUGGACAUGUGUUUAGAGUUAUCAGGAUUACGGGGCACCUGGGUGGCUCAGUCGGUUAAGCAUCCGACUUCGGCUCAGAUCGUGAUCUCGUGGGUUCGUGGGUUCGAGCCCCGCAUCAGGCUCUGUGCCGACAGCUCAGAGCCUGGAGCCUCUUCUGGAUUCUGUCUCCCUUUCUCUCUGCCCCUCCCCUGCUCACACUUUGUCUCUGUCUGUCUCAAAAAUAAGCAUAAAAAAAAUUUAGAGUUAUCAGGAUUAAAUAUAGAACUUUUAUCCUGCCCCUGUUUACUGAAAAUCACUUAAGUUCCUGUUAUCUCUGUUGCAAAUUUGUCAGGAAAAAAAAAAACCUUAAAAUGAUGAUCGACUUUGUCCACUGCCUCAUGAAGUUUUGUGGAUAGUCUACAUGUAAUUGUUAGGAAGAAGUAAGUUAAACACGUGUAAAUAAGAUUAAAAGGUUUAUAGGCAAACUUCUAAAUAGCUUCCAAAAUCUUUAAAGUUUUGCGAAGUGAAAUGACGAGUAAAGUUAAAUUCAUUGAGGAGCACCUGGGUGGCUCAGUCGGUUCAGCACCUGACAACUUGAUCUCAGCUCAGGUCUUGAUCUCAGGGUCAUGAGUUCAAGCCCCGGGUUGGCCCCCAUGCUGGGUGCGAAGCCUACUUUAAAAAAAAAAAAAAAAAAAAAAGUUAAAUUCUUGACUAUCUAGAUCAUUUCCAAAAAGGUAAGCUAAGAAAACAGUACGUAGUGAAAAUCAAUCAAUAAACCACAACGCCAUCAUCAUACCUUAAAAAAUUAACAAUAAUUGCCUAAAACUAUCAGAUAUCCGGUCGGUGUUUACACUUCCCCAACCGUCUCAAGUUGUUGUUGUUGUUGUUGUUGUUGUUUCUAUAACGUGUUCGAAUCGGGAUCCGGCAAGGCUCAUGGUCAAUUUUUGAACGCCGAUGCUUUGUUAUGUACAGGGGGCAAGGAUUCGGGAGCUAAUGAUUGUUUGGCCCUCGAACCCUCUCUGCUUUGGCGUCUAGUCGUGAAUAUGGCCCUGUCCUCACACAGUAGUUUUUCCCCCCUUUCAGGCUGCUGUGACUAAACACUAGUGUAACUGUGUUCCACGGAACUCUGGAAAGUUUUUACAAGGGACAGUAAGUCAUCUAUGAAAGAAGUGAAAACUCAAGGUUGGCCUUGAAAUUCAGAAGUUCUUACGCAACCAACACCCAGGUUUCCCUGGGGGAAAGAAAAACCCUACACACACACACACACACACACACACCCCGCCCCACCCCCCACACAACCAAACGCCAACUUUUAAUAUGUGUAGAGAAUGUUUAUGCAAAUGGCAAUAGAAAGCCUGUCCGUGUUGUGCCAUUCCCCCCCCCCUCAGAAUCAGGGCCAGUAUAAGCACGUUGGAAGUGUCUUAUUGAAAGGGCCCUUCAGCAUGGAUUAACUUGGGCCAAAAUGGUGUGACCCGUUUCUGGUAUUUGUAAAUGUACUGGGAAUUGGAAAGCAGGGUGGAAAAAUAAGCUUCUGAGUCUGAGGAGCAGGGGAAGGAAAAUUAUGUGUGGUUAAGUACGUGCUCCUUCAACCUGCUGAGUGUAUGCUUAGUCAUGCAGUCUUUGGUAAGUUGCUGGCCUGAAUAGCAUUGGGAAAUUUUGGUCUACACCACGUGACCGUCACCAGCAGGAUAUAGUAGGUACAUUGGAGUGAAACAAAGCUGACUGAAUUGAACUGUGGAGUCUGGGAGCCGCAUUCCUGCUGCGAGGGUCUGCGCUAUUCCACGUGUUUAUUCCUUCAUUCCAGAAGAUCCAUUAGUGGGUAGAUCUCUCAUUGGGUACUGGUCGGGGGGUAACCUGAAGGAUUUGUGCCCCAUAGCUGCCCUCCUGGGCUAAGGGAUGGAGGGAGAUGGUCGUGUAUAUAAGUAAUGAAUGAUCUUCAAGGCCGAGUGUGAAAAAUUAGAGCUAUAAAAGGAGGUCCAAAUAAAGUGCCGUAGGCAGGGAUGUUGGGGCUGGGAGGAGACCCAGAAAAAGCUUUUGAGGAAGGGGUUAGUUGAUCUGAAGCUUGAAGUGUCGGGAGAACGUGAACAGAUCAAGAAAGGGGAGCAUCCUUGUCCUGGGAGGAGUUUGCGUAAAGUCACAGAUGGCGGCGGCAGCAUGGAUCGUGGGAGGAAGAUAGUGGAGAUAAGCAGAUGAGUUAGGAGCUUAGCUGAGAGGUGGUGAGGAUCUCCGGUGCCAGAAACAUUGGCGAGGAGAGCUCAGGUCUGAACUAUUUUAGCGGUGGACUCACCAGGACUUUGUGAACGGACGGGAGAUGUUCAAGGUGCUGUAGAGAAGCAAAGGCUUGAGUGGGGGGUGCGGGGUGGGGUGGAUGAGAAAUAUGGAUUCCAUCUUGGACAUGCUGACUAUGGAUUGUUGGAGGGAACCAUUGGGUCAUGAUUUCCAACAGGGUUGGAGGGCGCCCGGGGUGGCAACGAGAGGCAAGCUUCAAGAGUCAGGGCCGUGGGAGCCGGCCACUUGGGAAAGACCAAUGGCGUCACCCCCAGAAGAAGACACAUUGUAAGCCUCUUGGCACAGGGUGAAGAAACUCCAAAUCCGAGCUUGCCACGGGGCAGUCGUGGGAUGGCAAGCAAGACGUCAGGGUAGAGAGAGCGCUUACCGGCAACUUGCAGCUUAAGAGUGAUACAGUGCCGCCAUCUGGGGGCUGCGUGUGGAAAUGGUAAUGGCAGCUUUGUGAAUGCCACUUAGUGACAGGGGACAUUAUUUUGGCGCCAGUGAAACCCCUCCUCUCAAAACCCUUUUGUAGGUCUUCCUUGAAGUCUUUUUAGCCUGCCUCUAUUUCUCUGCCCUUGGUGAAGAUAACUAUAGGGGCACGUGUUUUCUAGUACCCUGUCUUUCCAGAAGGGUUUAACCCUUGACAGCAGACUACUUCCGGUCAGCUACGGCAUCCUAGCGCUGAAUUGAGAUCUUUCCUGCUGCUGCUGCUGCUGUCCUAUAGCUACCGACCAAGGUUCUGGCUUGGACCACAACUCCCUGCUGGGCCCACCAAAUCCCUUGUUUUGACUGAGUCACUGGUUGGCUUUGACUCUGGAUACUAGAACAGCUUCCUUUUUGCCUCCAGGGGCACCGCUUACUCAUUGAUGUUUUCUUUUGCCAACCUCCUUUUCCGGAGUGGAACCGGGUCUUCGUCUUUUCAUUCAUUCCUUCGAGAAACAUUUAUCGAGUGGCCACGGUGUGCUAAACACUGAGGCUACGUUAGGGAGAAACACAGAUGCGGCCCGUCAAAACGCUUGUAUGACAGUCUAACUGUAAAAACAGAAAACAAUCGUAUGAAAUGUGAUCACUGCUCUGAGGGAAAGGUUGAUGAUGCGGUGGGAGCGGGUAGCAGGGGAAUCUGACCAAGUCUUGAAGGGUAGGUAGCAAAAGCUUUUCCAAGGAUGCGAUAUUUAAGCUGAAAUUUGAAGGAUUAGUGGGAAUUAGCCAGGAGGUAAAUAUUCUGAAAAAUAUGAACUCCACAAGGCUUAGGAAAGAAGGUGCCAUCAUUCUGGCUCCUGUGUCUUCUGGAAUGCUGGCGCAGUAGGGAGAUUCAACAGCUUUAUACAGACAGUCCCUGGGACAGUCUGGAAUCUGGAGUUGGCAUGUCAAUUAAAGUGACAAGUAUGUGUCUGAAAUAAAAAUAAAAAUUACAAUAGCAAUAGUCAGGGGUGCCUGGGUGGCUCAGUGGUUAAGUGUCCAACUCCUGAUUUCGGCUCAGGUCAUGAUCUCACGAUUUGUGGGUUUGAGCCCCGCAUCAGGCUCUGUGCUGAUAACUCAGAGCCUGCUUGGGAUUCUCUUUCUCGUCUCUCUCUGCCCCUCCCCUGCUUGUGCUCUCUCUCUCUCUCUCUCUCUCUCUCUCUCUCUCUCUCUUUCUUGCUCUCUCUCAAAACAAACAAAUAAACUUUAAAAAAACAACAAUCAGAAAGUUGGGAAACAGAAAUAGAGACCCCCCCCCCCACCAAAUUCCAAAUUAGCCUCCCCUUUUUGGAAAGGAAUACAUACAAGUAGAUAAAGAAAUACUAAUAUUCUUGAAGUCUUAAAGUACUAGGUUCUAAGAAUUGAGCCAAUUUUAAAAAUCUCCACGUACACUCACUUGAACUGGAACAUAAUGUCUUAAAUAUUCAGAUCAGAACAUUAGAUCUGAACCAGAGUAAGAUGUCAAAACCUACUCGAACUUCAGAUUCCUCAUCAGUAAAAUAGGGAUAAUGAUAGCAGCUACAUCCUUGGGUUUUUUGGAGACAUAAUGGAGUUCACACUUGCAAAGCACUCUAAACCAGUGCCGGACUCAGAGUAAGCACAAAAUACACGUUAGUGUUAUUAUUUCAGGGCUGACCUGUUCAUAGAACUUUCAGGUCGAUGGAACACUGAGGUUGCUUUGACACCCUGCCAUGGAAAAAAACCCAGCUACUCCAGCCACUCAAAAAGCCAACCCUGAAGUGAGUCAAAAAUCACACUCCUCGCGGAUCUAUCUACUUGUUAAUCCUUCUGCCCCGGGGGAACGGAAGGGAACAGAGAAAGUUUCCCACACAAUUGGCAACAAUGGAACAGGACGCUACAGUGCAAUAGUGUAUCACUGUUAAAAUUCCUGAAUUUGAUCACUGCGCUGUGGGCUAUCUCUGAGAAUGUCCUUGUCCUUGGAAAUUACCCACUGAAGUGCGAAGAAGAAGAGUGGAAUGAUAUAUGCAACAGUUCUGCAAGUGGUUCCGAAAAAAAGAACAUUAGUGUGUAAGUAGUGAGAGAGUCCCAAAAUAUUCAAAACUGGUGGAAUCUGGAUAGACGGCGUGGGAGGAUUCUACGUAGUAGUCUGGCAACUACUCCGUAAUGCUGAAAUUAUUUCAAAACAAAAAGUUAAUUAAAAAAAUCUUCCCUCUUCCAUAGGAGAGCUCUUGAAAGGCUUUGAGAACAAUGAUCACAUUUAUCUGAUGCUACUUUUCUCUUUCACUCACUUGUUCGUCAGUUGGUUCGUUCGUUCAUUCAUUCAUCCUUCGACAAAGAUUGAUUGAGCAUCUGCUUUGGGCCAGGCCGAGAGCGGGGCACUGUGGAUACGGCAGAGGAGAUAGUCCCUUCCACCGGCUCUCAUGGAACUUGGGGGCACUUGGGGGAGACCAGGGGUAAUGAACAAGAAGUUCUAUUCUUUCUGCCUGGGAUAGAAUUGUAAAGGAAGAGUAGAGAUGGUAGUAGGAGGGAGCCCACAAGCAGGUUCUGAGCCUAGCCAAUGGCCCCAGCAUCUAAGGUCAUAGGGAUGCAGAGGACAGUAAGCCAGAGAGAUUAGCACUCCUUUAUGAAAAAUCUGUUGGCCGAGGGGAAGGAUUUGUGAGCCCAGGUGAACAGCCUCGGACAAGCAUUUGACAAGUUGUUCCACCUGUUCCCUUAAAUGUCACAGCGCGUUGGAAAGAGAUUACCUGGAUUUGAAUGACAGCUGCUGUGUCCCGGUGACGUAACUAUGAAAGAACUGGGAUAGCCUCGGUCCCUUGGUGCAGGUUGGAACCGGUCAAUGGUAGGCGUCUUUAGCCCGCUCAUCGCAAAGCCGGGGACUGUCCCAGGUCCCAGAGCCCCAGCAGCACCCCUGCCUCUGCUCUCGCCCCCAUCGAUCCCAGGACCUUGGCCACACACACAGUUGAGCUUGGGUUUGGGUUGUGUCUAGAAGAGUCCCGAGAACAGAGAUCCCAACAGGAACCAAGGCAGUUUCUGUAAUAGGAUGUGCCUUAUAGCUUAGAUAGCUAGCUUUGGAGUUAGAUGGACCUGUUUUCAAAACGUGACCUCACCUAAGCUGUGUUACCUUAGGCUCCUUUCUUAACCUCUCUGAGUGCCCGUCUCUAUUAAACGUAGCGGCCCACGGGCUAGGGUGGAAGAUUAAGGGAGUGUGUAAAGCGGAUGCGAAGCCCUUGACCCGAUGCCUGGGACUUUGGAACGGUCAAUAAAUAUUUAUUCCCCUCCACCUCUUUUGGGCGGAGGAGGCAGAACCAGUCUGAGCAAGACUAACACGCCUUGAGGUCUUAAACAGGAGGUUUUAAAAUGCAAUUUUGAUCGUUUCAUGGAGCGGCAGCACAUGGAAAACAGAACAAAAACAGGCAUGCAACAGAGACUCAGACUUUACAAGGAUCACUGCCCUUAACCUUCACAGUAACAUCGGAGCCGGAUGCAAUGAUACACUCUGUUUACAGGUGUGGAAACUGAGGCACAGGAGGAUUAAGAAACUGAGAACUCAGUGACAGACGCCCAAAUGGAAGCUAAUUGGUCCGGCGGAGCCUGAGGGGCACCACAGAAGCCCUCUGCAGGCCUCUUUUCAUUCAAAACUGCUCUCUUUCCCCAGGGGUAACCACCACCCUGACUUUUCUGAUUAGCGUUUUCAUUGUCUGUGGCUAAAUACCCAGAGGUGGAAUUGCUGGAUCAUGUGGUAGCUCUAUUUUUAAUUGGCGGAGGAGCCUUCAUACCGUCUUCCCCGAUGGUUACUCCCAUUUACCUUCCCAUCCACAGCGCGCGAGGGCUCCGUUUUCUCCACGCACGCUGGAAUACCACUCAGCCAUUAAAAACAAUGAGGUCGUGCCAUUUGUGACAACACGGAUGGACCUAGAGGGCGCUGUGCAAAGUGAAAGAAGUCCGAGGAAGGCAAAUACCGUACGGUUUCACUUGUCUGUGGAAUCUAAAAAACAAAAACAGGCAAACAACCAAAUGGGCUCUUAAACACAGAGAACAAACUGGUGGCUGCGGGCGGGGAGGGGUGGGGGGAUGGGCAAAAUAGGCGAAGGGGGCUCAGAGCUACCAACUUCCGGUUAUAAAAUAAACAAGUCAUGGAGUUGAAGAGCACGGCACAGGGAAGACGGCCAACAGUAUUGUAAUAACAUCUGGAUGGUGACAGACGGGGACCGCCCUAGUGGUGAACACUGAGUACCGUGUAGAAUUAUCGAAUCACUAUGUUGUGCACCUGAAACCCAUAGAGUCUUGUACGUCACCUAUACCUUCAAUAAUAAAAGCAAAUGUAAGCCACUUAUGAUUUUUAAAAACACAGAUGUUAAAGCAAUGUAAAAAAAAAAAAAAAAAAAACAAGAAAAGAAAUAAAAAUGUAGGGGGCGCCUGGCUGGCUCAGUCAGAACGUGCAGCUCCUGACCUCAGUGCCGUGAGUUCAAGCCCCAUGUUGGGCGUGGAGCCUAGUUGAAAAAAAAAAAAAAAAAAAAAAAAGUAACUAAAUAAUAAAGACAAAUAAAUGACAAUGAAAAAAUGAAACAAAGACAACUUUAUACGCCGCACACUCAUACAAUUCAUCCUUUUAAGGUAGACAAUUCAGUGGCUUUUAAAAUAUUUUCAGAGCUGUACAAUCAUUGUCACAAUCGAUUUUCCGACAUUUCCAUCAGCCCGAAAUGAAACCCUGUACCCGUUAGCAGUCACCCCCUUUCCUCUCCUCCCUCCCCUCCCCAGCCCCUGGAAACCAUUAGUCUACUUUCUGUCUCCUUGGGCUUGGCUAUUCUGAAUAACUCCUGUGAAUGGAACCGCACGAUAUGUGGCCUUGGGUGACUGGCUUCUCUUACUUCAUAUGAUGUUUCCAAGGUUCAUCCGUGGAUCAGUACUUUAUUCCUUUUAUCCACCCAUCCGUUAAUGGGCAUUUGGGUUGUUUCCGCUUUUUGGCUAUUGCUUCUAAUGGUGCUGUGGACAUUUGGGUACAAGUUUCGACGUGGAUAUAUGUUUCCGUUUCUCUUGGGUAUUCACUGAGGUGUACGAUUAUUGCACGGUAUGGUAAUUCUGUAUUCAACCUGUUGAGGAAAUUCCUGACUGGUUUCCGAAGUGACUGUAUCAUUUUACAUUCCCACCAGCGAUAUUUGAGCACUCCACCCCAUAUCCUUGCCAACAUCUGUCAUUGUCUGUCUUCUUUAUUAUAGACAUCUUGGUAGGUAUAGGGUGGUCUCUCAUUAUGGUUUCCAUUGGCAUUUCCUGAUGGCCAAUGAUGUUGAGCAUCUUUUCAUGUGCUUAUUGGCCAUUUCUGUACCUUCCCUAGAGAAAUGUCUGUUCAGAUCCUUUGCCCAUUUCUAAUUGGAUUCUUUGCCUUUUUGUUAUUGAAUUAUAAAGGCAUUUUAUUUAUUCUAGAUAUAAGUCCCUUAUCAGAUAUACAGUUUGCAUGUAUUGUCUCUCGCUCUGCGGAUUGUCUUUCCCCUUUCCCAGUAGGGUCCUUUGACGUACCAAAGUCUACUUAUCCAUGCUUUCUCUUCUUGCCUGUGCUUUCAUGUCUUAGAAGUUUCUGCCUAACUCAAGGUCACAAAUAUUUAUUUCAACUAUGAUUUCUUCUAAGAGUUUUUAAAUUUUAGCUCUUGUAUUUCAUUUUUGGUUUUUUUCCAUUAUCUACUUUGUAUUAAUGUUUUGCUUAUUUUUUGUGUUUCAAAACGUUUAUUUAUUUUUGAGAGACAGAGUGUGAGCAGGGAAAGAGCGAGAGAGGGGGAGACAGAGGAUCAGAAGCCGGCUCUGCACUGACAACAGAGAGCCCGAUGUGGGGCUUGAACUCCCGAACCGUGAGAUCAUGACCUGAGCCGAAGUCAGAUGCUCCCUUAACUGACUGGGCCACCCGGGUGCCCCUUGUAUUAUCUUUUUUUAAGUUUGAUUUAUCUCAGUAAUCUCUACAUCCAAUGUGGGGCUCUAAGUCACAACCCCGAGAUAGAGAGUCUCAUGCUCUUCCGACUGAGCCAACCAGGCACCCCAUAGUUUGUACUAAUUUUUGUACAUGGUACGAAGUGGGGGUCCAGCUUCAUUAUUUUGUAUUUGGACACAUAACUGUCCCCGUGUCAUUUGUUGCACAGACUGUUCUUCCCCACUGAAGGAACAGUCUGGCACCCUUGUGUCGAAAAUUGACUGUAAAUGUCUGGACUUAUUUUUGGACUCUCACUUCUAUUCUAUUCUGAUCUGUAUAUCUCUUCUCAUGCAAGUACCACACAGUCUUGAUUCUGUAGCUUUUUAUAAGUUUUGAAACUGCGAAGAGUUAAUCUUCAAGCUCUUCUUUUUCAAGAUUGUUUGGCUAUUCUGGGUCCCCUGCAUUUCCACAUGACUUUUACCACCAGCUUGUCAAUUUCUACCAAGAAGCCAACCAAGAUUAUGAUACGGAUCACGGUGAAUUUGUAGAUCAAUCUGUAGGUCACUAUCUUAGCAACAUGAAGUCUUCCAAUUUGUGAAAAUAACGUAUCUUUCCAUUUAUUUAGAUCUUUCAUUUCUUUCAGUGAUAAUGUGUGGUUUUCAUGGUGGGAGUCUCACACUUUUAAAAUUUAUUCAUAAAUAUGUUCUUUUUUGAAGUUACUAUAAAUGGAUUUCUUCAUUUCAUAUUUGGAUUGUUCAUUGCUAGCGUAUAGAAAUACAACUGAGUUUUGUAUAUCGAUCUUGUAUCUUACAACCACGCUGAAUUAAUCUAUUCCACUGGUUUUCCAGUGGCUUCUGUAGGCUUUUCUAUAUACAAAAGCAUAUCAUCCACAAAUAGAGAUCAUGUUACUUGUUCCCAAUGUGGAUGUUGCUUAUUGCUUUUUUCUGCCCUAAUUUCCCUGGCUAGAACCCCCAUCUCUUAGGGUUGCUAGACCCAAUUCUAACUUGGGGUGGGGGCUGAUCCCUCAGUGAACACCAAACAAUUCUCAGAUACCACCAAGGUGUCAGAGAAUUCAACUUAAUUCUGACACUGUCUACCCGGAGGUGGCAUCAGACGCCAUAGUUAAAGGGCUUAGCCUUACAGGACAGUCCCCCACCCCCACCUCAGAUGCCAGUCUCAAGCCCAGGCUGUUACCUGUGUUUCUAUCUGGCUACACGUUGGAGGUUCCAGCGACCUUCUCCUUAUUUAUUUUUGAGAGAGAGUGUAAGCGGGGGACGGGCAGAGAGAGGGAGGCAGAGGAUCCAAAGAGGGCUCUGCACUGACAGCAGCGAGCCUGGCGGCGCGGGGCUCGAACCCGCAAACUGCAAGAUCGUGACCGGAGCUGAAGUCGGACGCUCAACCGACUGAGCCACCCCAGUGCCCCUCUUGUUUGCUUUUUAAUAUGUGCAAGUGGAUACUUAACUCAUUAGCUUUUGGCCUUUCAUCAUUGCUAAAAGACACUUUUUCCUUCUAAGCACUGCUUUGGCUGCAUCCGAAGCAGUUUCGAUGUCUUUUCACUGUUGUUCAACUACAAAUGUUCUGUGACUCCACUAUUGCUUUUCUAAUACCCAGCUUUUUCCGUUGUCUUUUGUAAUUAUCGAUUUGUAACUUCUUUGCAUUAUGAUCAGAUUCCAACUUUUUGAAAUGUGGCUUGCUUUCCGGCUUGGGACAUGGUCACGUUUCAUCAACCUCGUGCAUGUGUAUUCUGUGGUUGUUGGUUGCAGUGUUCUAUACAAUGGCGGUAAGCUCAAGUUAUUGAUUAUGUUGUUCAAAAAUUCUAUAUCCUUGGAGACCCUUUUAUGUCUCUCGGAUGAAGUACGGGGUGGGGGAGACCUCCCACUCGGAUUAUGGUAUUUGUCUAUUUCUCCUUUUAGUAAGUUAACGUCUCCUUUAUAUAUUUUGAGGUUUUGUUAUAAAUGCAUAAUCAUUCCUGGUGAAUUGAGUCUUUUAUCAUUAGGAAAUGUCCUCCUACAUCUCGAAUAAUGCUGUUUGCUUUUUAAGUGUAUUUUGUUUGAAUAUCUCUAUACAAGUGUUCUAUCGCUUAUGUCAUUAUUCGGGUGACUUAGCUCUCCCCAUCUUUUUAUGGUCAACCUAUCUGUAUCCUUAUAUUUUGAAUUUGUCUCUCUCAAACAGCAUACAGGCGUACUUAUUCAUCCUACUUGAUAAUACUUGAGCGUUUAGCUCAUAAACAUUUAUUUAUUUAAAAAAAAUUUUUUUUAACGUUUGCUUCUUUUUGAGACAGAGAGAGACAGAGCAUGAAUGGGGGAGGGUCAGAGAGAGAGGGAGACGCAGAAUCUGAAACAGGCUCCAGGCUCUGAGCGGUCAGCACAGAGCCCGACGCGGGGCUCGAACUCGAGGACCGUGAGAUCGUGACCUGAGCCGCAGUCGGACGCUUAACCGACUGAGCCACCCAGGCGCCCCUUAGCUCAUAAACAUUUAUUAAAAUUAUUGAUAUAUUGGGGUUUCAAGCUACCAUUUUAUUUUGUGCUUGCAUUGGUUCCCCCUGAGUUUCU